AGGACGAACGCUGGCGGCGUGCUUAACACAUGCAAGUCGAACGGAAAGGCCCUUCGGGGUACUCGAGUGGCGAACGGGUGAGUAACACGUGGGUGAUCUGCCCCGCACUUUGGGAUAAGCCUGGGAAACUGGGUCUAAUACCGAAUAGGACCAUGGCAUGCAUGUGCUGUGGUGGAAAGCUUUUGCGGUGUGGGAUGGGCCCGCGGCCUAUCAGCUUGUUGGUGGGGUUAAGGCCUACCAAGGCGACGACGGGUAGCCGGCCUGAGAGGGUGUCCGGCCACACUGGGACUGAGAUACGGCCCAGACUCCUACGGGAGGCAGCAGUGGGGAAUAUUGCACAAUGGGCGCAAGCCUGAUGCAGCGACGCCGCGUGGGGGAUGACGGCCUUCGGUUGUAACCCUUUCAGUAGGGACGAAGCGCAAGUGACGGUACCUACAGAAGAAGCACCGGCCAACUACGCGCCAGCAGCCGC
rnacentral:rRNA from 1 species